GCAAGUCGAACGAGAGAGAAGGAGCUUGCUUCUUCGAUCGAGUGGCGAACGGGUGAGUAACGCGUGAGGAACCUGCCUCAAAGAGGGGGACAACAGUUGGAAACGACUGCUAAUACCGCAUAAGCCCACGGGUCGGCAUCGACCUGAGGGAAAAGGAGUGAUCCGCUUUGAGAUGGCCUCGCGUCCGAUUAGCUAGUUGGUGAGGUAAUGGCCCACCAAGGCGACGAUCGGUAGCCGGACUGAGAGGUUGAACGGCCACAUUGGGACUGAGACACGGCCCAGACUCCUACGGGAGGCAGCAGUGGGGAAUAUUGCACAAUGGGGGAAACCCUGAUGCAGCGACGCCGCGUGGAGGAAGAAGGUCUUCGGAUUGUAAACUCCUGUUGUUGAGGAAGAUAAUGACGGUACUCAACAAGGAAGUGACGGCUAACUACGUGCCAGCAGCCGCGGUAAAACGUAGGUCACAAGCGUUGUCCGGAAUUACUGGGUGUAAAGGGAGCGCAGGCGGGAAGACAAGUUGGAAGUGAAAUCUAUGGGCUCAACCCAUAAACUGCUUUCAAAACUGUUUUUCUUGAGUAGUGCAGAGGUAGGCGGAAUUCCCGGUGUAGCGGUGGAAUGCGUAGAUAUCGGGAGGAACACCAGUGGCGAAGGCGGCCUACUGGGCACCAACUGACGCUGAGGCUCGAAAGUGUGGGUAGCAAACAGGAUUAGAUACCCUGG
rnacentral:rRNA from 1 species